rnacentral:tRNA from 1 species
GCUACUAAAGCUAAAUUAGAAGCACUAGUUUUGUAAUCUAGAAAUUGAAUUAUAUUCUAGUAGCU